rnacentral:rRNA from 1 species
AUUGAACGCUGGUGGCAGGCUUAACACAUGCAGGUCGAACGGUAACAGGAAUUAGCUUGCUAAUUUGCUGACGAGUGGCGGACGGGUGAGUAAUGCUUGGGAAUCUGGCUUAUGGAGGGGGAUAACUACGGGAAACUGUAGCUAAUACCGCGUAAAAUCUUCGGAUUAAAGGGUGGGACUUUCGAGCCACCUGCCAUAAGAUGAGCCCAAGUGGGAUUAGGUAGUUGGUUAGGUAAAGGCUGACCAAGCCGACGAUCUCUAGCUGGUCUGAGAGGAUGACCAGCCACACUGGAACUGAGACACGGUCCAGACUCCUACGGGAGGCAGCAGUGGGGAAUAUUGCACAAUGGGGGGAACCCUGAUGCAGCCAUGCCGCGUGAAUGAAGAAGGCCUUCGGGUUGUAAAGUUCUUUCGGUGACGAGGAAGGUUGAUAGGUUAAUAGCCUAUCAAAUUGACGUUAAUCACAGAAGAAGCACCGGCUAACUCCGUG